GAUGAACGCUGGCGGCGUGCCUAAUACAUGCAAGUCGAGCGAACAGACGAGGAGCUUGCUCCUCUGACGUUAGCGGCGGACGGGUGAGUAACACGUGGAUAACCUACCUAUAAGACUGGGAUAACUUCGGGAAACCGGAGCUAAUACCGGAUAAUAUAUUGAACCGCAUGGUUCAAUAGUGAAAGACGGUUUUGCUGUCACUUAUAGAUGGAUCCGCGCCGCAUUAGCUAGUUGGUAAGGUAACGGCUUACCAAGGCAACGAUGCGUAGCCGACCUGAGAGGGUGAUCGGCCACACUGGAACUGAGACACGGUCCAGACUCCUACGGGAGGCAGCAGUAGGGAAUCUGCCGCAAUGGGCGAAAGCAUGACGGAGCAACGCCGCGUGAGUGAUGAAGGUCUUCGGAUCGUAAAAAUCUGUUAUUAGGGAAGAACAAAUGUGGAAGUAACUAUGCACGUCUUGACGGUACCUAAUCAGAAAGCCACGGCUAACUACGUG
rnacentral:rRNA from 1 species